AAAAAAAAAAGCGAUGCUUCGAGUCUGGCAGUACCUCUGCAGAACCACCAGAUGGCGAAUGUGGGAAGGAUCCCGAGCAGGACGAGAGAGGAAGAACUCCGUAAGGAGGGGUCAGGGCUUCCUGUAUGGAGGACCCGUCCGGAACAAUGCGCAUGCGAGGAGGUACUUCUCUGCUGCAAAGGGUUUUUGGGGCUCGGAUGAAAAAAAAGAAAUCCGCGUUAGGAGCAGCCACCGGGUGCAUGACCUACUGUGGUGUUUGUCUUCACUAGAGCCUGCGGUGGAAAAAAAGAAAAAAGUGAUGCUUCGAGGCUGGCAGUACCUCUGCAGACCCACCAGAUGGCGACUGUGGGAAGGAUGCCGAGCAGGACAAGAGAGGAAAAACUCCGUCAGGAGGGGUCAGGGCUUCCUGUAUGGAGGACCCGCCCGGAACAAUGCGCAUGCGAGGAGGUACUUCUCUGCUGCAAAGGGUUUUUGGGCCUCGGAUAUAAAAAAAAGAAAUCCGCGUUAGUAGCAGCCACCGGGUGCAUGCCUGAACGGAGACAUCUCCUGGGGGCCAAUGAAUCACAGACCUUGAGGCCAGGGAGACAGACUAAAUUACAUGACCUACUGUGGUGUUUGUCUUCACCCGCGCCUGCGGUGGAAAAAAAAAAGCGAUGCUUCGAGUCUGGCAGUACCUCUACAGACCCACCAGAUGGCGACUGUGGGAAGGAUGCCGAGCAGGACGAGAGAGGAAGAACUCCGUCAGGAGGGGUCAGGGCUUCCUGUAUGGAGGACUCGUCCGGAACAAUGCGCAUGCGAGGAGAGCCUGCGGUGGAAAAAAAAAAAAAGUGAUGCUUCGAGGCUGGCAGUACCUCUGCAGACCCACCAGAUGGCGACUGUGGGAAGGAUGCCGAGCAGGACGAGAGAGGAAGAACUCCGUCAGGAGGGGUCAGGGCUUCCUGUAUGGAGGACUCGUCCGGAACAAUGCGCAUGCGAGAAGGUACUUCUCUGCUGCAAAGGGUUUUUGGGCCUCGGAUAUAAAAAAAAGAAAUCCGCGUUAGUAGCAGCCACCGGGUGCAUGAGUGCUUCCUACGGGAUGCCGUGAUUUCCUUGCCCGGUCUAGGACCGACUGUGGUGUUUGUCUUCAGUCGCGCCUGCGUUUAAAAAGCGAUGCUUCGAGGCUGUUAGUACCUCUGCAGACCCACCAGAUGGCGACUCUGGGAAGGAUGCCGAGCAGGACGAGAGAGGAAGAACUCCGUCAGGAGGGGUCAGGGCUUCCUGUAUGGAGGACCCGUCCGGAACAAUGCGCCUACGAGGAGGUACUUCUCUGCUGCAAAGAGUUUUUGGGCCAAGGAAGUCCACGUUAGGAGCAGCCACCGAGUGCAUAUAAGUCGGUGGACCGGAAUCCGGCCACCCGCCCUCAUUUGUGUUUAACAUGAUUAGUAAUAUCGAUGUUUAGAAAGUUAGCAGUGUGCUUCCGUAUUGAUAGAGGCUAAGCAUAUAGCCUAAACGUUGACGUAUAGCACACAUAGAACGUGUUGGCUAACAUACACAGACUGAUUUCACUGUUAGAAACCUGAUGUAAUGUUUGUAUAAAUUUAUGAAACAACUGUGUAUAUAUAAAACGGUUGUUCAUGAAGACAAGAAA